rnacentral:rRNA from 1 species
CCUACGGGAGGCAGCAGUGAGGAAUAUUGGUCAAUGGGCGGGAGCCUGAACCAGCCAAGCCGCGUGAGGGAAGAAGGUACAGCGUAUCGUAAACCUCUUUUGUCAGGGAACAAAGGCGGGGACUAGUCCCCGGAUGAGGGUACCUGAAGAAAAAGCAUCGGCUAACUCCGUGCCAGCAGCCGCGGUAAUACGGAGGAUGCGAGCGUUAUCCGGAUUCAUUGGGUUUAAAGGGUGCGUAGGUUGUUUUAUAAGUUAGCGGUGAAAUACCGAUGCUCAACAUCGGGGCUGCCGCUAAUACUGUAGGACUAGAGAUCGGAUGCAGCAGGCGGAAUGUGUAGUGUAGCGGUGAAAUGCAUAGAUAUUACACAGAACACCGAUUGCGAAGGCAGCUUGCUAGGCCGGAUCUGACACUGAUGCACGAAAGCGUGGGGAUCGAACAGGAUUAGAUACCCGUGUAGUC